rnacentral:tRNA from 1 species
UCCCUGGUGGCUCAGAGGUUAAAGCGUCUGCCUCCAACGCUGGAGACCCGUGUUCAAUCCCUGGUUUGGGAA